CAUGCUUAACACAUGUAAGUCAGACGAGAAGUGGUGAUUUUGGUGACAAACGUGUGAGUAAUGAAUGCGUAAGAACAUUCCAUUGGGAGGGGAAAAAUAGAUGGAAACAACUACUCAUACUCCGUAGGCUAAGGAGCAAAAGGAGAAAUUUGCUCGAAAAAGAGAUUGUGUCUAAUUAGCUAGUUGGUGAGGCAAUUGCUUACCAAAGCAAUCAUCAGUCGUUGAUCCAAGAGGAUGAUAAGUCACAAUGGGAUAGGGAUACAGCUUAGACUCAUACAAGAAUCAAUAGUGGGGAAUUUUUUGCAAUGAGGGAAAAGCUCUG
rnacentral:rRNA from 1 species